rnacentral:rRNA from 1 species
GACGAACGCUGGCGGCGUGCUUAACACAUGCAAGUCGAACGGAAAGGCCUUUUCGGAGGUACUCGAGUGGCGAACGGGUGAGUAACACGUGGGUGAUCUGCCCUGCACUCUGGGAUAAGCCUGGGAAACUGGGUCUAAUACCGGAUAGGACCGCACUUUAGUGUGUGUGGUGGCAAGUUUUUUCGGUGUAGGAUGAGCCCGCGGCCUAUCAGCUUGUUGGUGGGGUAAUGGCCUACCAAGGCGGCGACGGGUAGCCGGACUGAGAGGUUGGUCGGCCACAUUGGGACUGAGAUACGGCCCAGACGCCUACGGGAGGCAGCAGUGGGGAAUAGUGCACAAUGGGCGCAAGCCUGAUGCAGCGACGCCGCGUGGGGGAUGACGGCCUUCGGGUUGUAAACUCCUUUCGCCAGGGACGAAGCGUUUUGUGACGGUACCUGGAGAAGAAGCACCGGCUAACUACGUG